CCUACGGGAGGCAGCAGUGGGGAAUUUUGGACAAUGGGCGCAAGCCUGAUCCAGCCAUGCCGCGUGUGGGAAGAAGGCCUUCGGGUUGUAAACCACUUUUGUCAGGGAAGAAACGGCUCUUACUAAUAUUAGGAGCUAAUGACGGUACCUGAAGAAUAAGCACCGGCUAACUACGUGCCAGCAGCCGCGGUAAUACGUAGGGUGCAAGCGUUAAUCGGAAUUACUGGGCGUAAAGCGUGCGCAGGCGGCUUUGCAAGACAGAUGUGAAAUCCCCGGGCUCAACCUGGGAACUGCAUUUGUGACUGCAUGGCUAGAGUACGGUAGAGGGGGAUGGAAUUCCGCGUGUAGCAGUGAAAUGCGUAGAUAUGCGGAGGAACACCGAUGGCGAAGGCAAUCCCCUGGACCUGUACUGACGCUCAUGCACGAAAGCGUGGGGAGCAAACAGGAUUAGAUACCCUGGUAGUCCACGCCCUAAACGAUGUCAACUGGUUGUUGGACGGCUUGCUGUUCAGUAACGAAGCUAACGCGUGAAGUUGACCGCCUGGGGAGUACGGCCGCGAAGGUUGAAACUUAAAGGAAUUGACGG
rnacentral:rRNA from 1 species